UACGUAGGGUGCGAGCGUUACUCGGAAUUACUGGGCGUAAAGCGUGCGCAGGCGGCUCUGCAAGACAGUUGUGAAAUCCCCGGGCUCAACCUGGGAACUGCAUUUGUGACUGCAAGGCUGGAGUACGGUAGAGGGGGAUGGAAUUCCGCGUGUAGCAGUGAAAUGCGUAGAUAUGCGGAGGAACACCGAUGGCGAAGGCAAUCCCCUGGACCUGUACUGACGCUCAUGCACGAAAGCGUGGGGAGCAAACAGG
rnacentral:rRNA from 1 species